rnacentral:lncRNA from 1 species
GCAGUGGAUGCUUUCUUAAAUUAUUUGAAUGAAUUAAACUAAAGCAAAGAUGAAAGAAAAUGCAAGAAUAACCAUAAGAACAAGCACAACACAAACACAACGAUAUAUAGUGGUUCGGUGCAUCCCAAGGCACCUACGUCCACUCCCCAAGCGUUAUCUUGGGAAUUUUACUAUAACCCCUCAGAUUACAGUAGGAUUGUUUUUCGGGCUCACAAUCCAAAACCUUUACAAUUUGGUUUUUCGGGAUCACCAAUAACCUAUGUUGAUUUUACGGGCUCACCAACGAACCUUCACAAUUGGUUUUACGGGCUCACCAACAAACCUACGUUGGUUUUACGGGUUGACCAACAACCUACGUU